GCGGAUGUGGUGGAAUUGGUAGACACGCUAGAUUUAGGUUCUAGUGCCGCAAGGUGUGGGAGUUCGAGUCUCCCCAUCCGCACCA
rnacentral:tRNA from 6 species